rnacentral:rRNA from 1 species
CACAUGCAAGUCGAGGGGUAACAGGAAGUGCUUGCACUUUGCUGACGACCGGCGCACGGGUGCGUAACGCGUAUACAAUCUACCUUGUACUGGGGUAUAGCCCAGAGAAAUUUGGAUUAAUCCCCCAUAGUAUGUAAAAGUGGCAUCACUUAUACAUUAAAGGUUACGGUACAAGAUGGGUAUGCGUCCUAUUAGUUAGUUGGUAAGGUAACGGCUUACCAAGACUACGAUAGGUAGGGGCCCUGAGAGGGGGACCCCCCACACUGGUACUGAGACACGGACCAGACUCCUACGGGAGGCAGCAGUGAGGAAUAUUGGACAAUGGGCGAGAGCCUGAUCCAGCCAUGCCGCGUGCAGGAAGACUGCCCUAUGGGUUGUAAACUGCUUUUAUACAGGAAGAAACCUUUCCACGUGUGGGAAGCUGACGGUACUGUAAGAAUAAGGAUCGGCUAACUCCGUGCCAGCAGCCGCGGUAAUACGGAGGAUCCGAGCGUUAUCCGGAAUUAUUGGGUUUAAAGGGUCCGUAGGCGGGUCUUUAAGUCAGUGGUGAAAGUUUGCGGCUCAACCGUAAAAUUGCCAUUGAUACUGGAGAUCUUGAAUUAGUGUGAAGUGGUUAGAAUGUGUAGUGUAGCGGUGAAAUGCAUAGAUAUUACAC